UACGGAAGGGGCAAGCGUUGUUCGGAAUCAUUGGGCGUAAAGGGCGCGUAGGUGGUUCUGUACGUCUACCGUGAAAGCAUACAGCUCAACUGUAUUUUGUCGGUAGAAACUGCAGGACUUGAGGCUGGGAGGGGCUGGUGGAAUUCCCUGUGUAGCGGUGAAAUGCGUAGAGAUGGGGGAGAACACUCGUGGCGAAGGCGGCCAGCUAGACCAGUUCUGACACUGAGGCGCGACAGCGUGGGGAGCAAACAGG
rnacentral:rRNA from 1 species